UGGACAGAUUAUUGUAUUCGACUGUAUUCACGGCAUGAAAUAGGGGAUUACACUGUUUUUAAAACAGAGUGUGAAUCAAUUAACAUAAUAGACUCCU
rnacentral:pre_miRNA from 1 species